AAUUUUGUUGUUGUUACCCUUGCCGGAGUGAAGAGAGCUGUAAGAAAAAAGGCCACAAGUAAAAGGAGAAGCUGUUUCGUGAACCCGACUUGGUGUCCGUGUUGUUCCUGUCUCCGUUGGAGUGGAGAUGACCUGCGACAAGUGGUGGCCCGUACGGGGAACUCAUCAUGUCGGUCGGCAACGGGUGAAGAGAGCUGUAAGGAAAAAGGCCACAAGUAAAAGGAGAAGCUGUUUCGUGAACCUGACUUGGUGUCCGUGUUGUUCCUGUCUCCGCCAGAGCGGAGAUGGCCUGCGACAAGAAAGCAUCAAAUUCUUACUGACCUUCGUUGCAGUGCAGAAGUAGAAGAUGAGGUGGAACAUGAGAUGGCUUUCUGAGGACACCUUUUCUUAGGUUAAAAGCAAGCCAGGACAUUUAAAAGUGAGUCAUUUUAAUUAGCAGGCAAACUAAGGAGUCUCACUGUGGCAUAUUCACACACAUCCAUCGUUUUGCCUCAUUCUUACUUGAUGCUCUUCUGUCAUCUCUUGUUGGCCUAGUACCUCCCCAGAUACUUUGUGCUUUAGUUCACAUGAGUCCUGUUAUGUCUCUAUUAUAAUUCUUUUGUGGGAAAACAUUUCUCCCCUCUUUUCCUCCUCCCUCCCUCG
rnacentral:lncRNA from 1 species